UACGGAGGGUGCAAGCGUUAUCCGGAUUCACUGGGUUUAAAGGGUGCGUAGGUGGGCAGGUAAGUCCGUGGUGAAAUCCCUGAGCUUAACUCGGGAACUGCCAUGGAUACUAUUUGUCUUGAAUAUUGUGGAGGUAAGCGGAAUAUGUCAUGUAGCGGUGAAAUGCUUAGAUAUGACAUAGAACACCAAUUGCGAAGGCAGCUUACUACACAGUUAUUGACACUGAGGCACGAAAGCGUGGGGAUCAAACAGGAUUAGA
rnacentral:rRNA from 1 species